GGCGGAGUGAUACAGCUGUGUGUGAUUUGUCCUGUCAGAGAAAGUGGCGCGGAGUGAUACAGUCCUCUGUGUGUGAUCUUAGUAGAAACACAGCCAGUUCUGCAGAUUUUUACGGAGCCCAGUAAACUCAUUUAUCACUGUAUUCAUGUGUAGAGCGGAAAUUGGACAGGACUCUCACCGAAAUAACCAGGAGACCCACUCGGGGGACCAUUGGCGGACGCUUAGGCUUCUGCAGGAAAAUCACGUGAAUGGAGUAGGAAGCUUUCGGGAGAACACAGCGCUGCCGAACCAAGUGACAUUGCAGCGGAAUAUUCCAGUCUACACCCGAGAAGCCAGGCAGCUGUCCAUUCGCUUUGUACUGAGACGGUGGACUUAUAACCCAUUGAUCUGACAGGAAGCCAGGAAGUUGAAUUUAGUUCCUAAUACUUGUCCUAAAAUGUUUCCAAUAUUUUCAUUACAAAAUAUUUUGUUCUAACAAAUAGUAAUGAUAAUAUACAUAAUGGAUAAAAAUUUCACAAGUGAAGGAAAGUAAACCAAU